UCGGAUGAAUAAUUGAAAGAAUUUCCGGGAACCGCUGGAGAUGUUACUAUCGCUGGCUGAAGACACUUGAGCCCGCUUAGAGGUAAGGAAUGAGUUAUUCACAAUUGGGGAUUAGUGAGAACAUGAUCCUUAGAGAACUAAAUAUGGGUUUGUUUGGGGAUGUUUAUUGAAUUAUAAUUUUUCUUUAUGAUUAUGAAUACAAUAUUAUUAUGUUCUAUGUACCAAUUGAUGUCCUGAUGAGAAUUGAUUGAUAAACUUGAGUGCUCUUGAUGUCUUUGUGUUAACCCAUGAUUUUGAUUAAUUGAUUUUGAUACAAUUGUGAGAAACUAUUUCAGAGAUUUUACAUUCCAUGUUGUGAUAAAAUCUUUUGUAUAAAUUGUUAUGUUGAGGUUAUGAAAUGAUGAUUCAAACUGUGAGUAUGUGAUAAAUUGAACAUGUGACGGAUGAUGAAAUACAUGUGUAUUGAGAUGAGAUGUGUAUAUUGAGUUGUGAACUAUGAACUGUGCAAACACACAAUUGUAAGACCCUUUUAGGGCGGCGAGUUAAUGCUAAGUCCCUUUUAGGGCGACCAGUUAAUGUUAAGUCCCUUUAAGGGCGACGAGUUAAUGAUAAGACCCUUAAAGGGCGACGAGUUAAAAUUAUUUUGAGAACAAUUGAGGAGUCAUGUGUUUUGUACAAUUCAUAGAUAGAGUCUGUGUGCUAAAAUGUUUUCUGGGUUGGACCUGAAUCAGGAGGGAGAGGCCCUGACGGACUCUUCGGAGUGUAGGCCUUGGGGGUCACACGGUUUGAGUGCUCCUUUAAGCCUAUGUUGAUCCCAUAUGGUUGGAGCAUUCUCGCAAAACACUGUGACCCUGACUGGUCUCCCUAUGAUAUUACCUAGUGAGAGUGACUUGACUCACUAUUGUGCGGUUUGUCUUGUCAUGUACUCUUAGGCGCCCGACGAGGUUUUUCACUGACAUGGUACCACAUUUCAUAUAGGCUUGAGUCUUAGCAUAACUGUUGCAUACGCUUGCUAAUUGUUUAUUAUGAAAUUGAUGUGUUAUUAUGUCUUGAUCGGAGUGUGUGAUUCCUGUGUAUUGUGAUUGAUGAUUGAAAAGUGUGAUUGAUGAAUGACAAAGUGAUGAAAUAGUGUGAGAUAUGCUAAGUAAAUUGUAUUUGGCUAUUAUAUGUUGUGUUGUUUCUCUCUAGUAGUUAGAAAUGUGAUAACUCACUCCCGAUUUGCUGUUUGUGUUUGGAUCCUGUGAUGAUCUUGAACUUUGUGUUCGGGGGAGCAGAUGAAUAGAUGGAUGACUAUGAAGAAUCUCAUGCUAAAGGACACGGGAACACCACGCUCUGAUAGGAUGUGACAUUAGGAUAUAGGUUCUAUAUUAAUUGUAUGAAACUUAGAUGACCUUCUUUGAGCCGAGAUGACUU
rnacentral:lncRNA from 1 species